rnacentral:rRNA from 1 species
GAUGAACGCUAGCGGCAGGCCUAACACAUGCAAGUCGAGGGAGAAGCCCUUUCGGGGGCAGAAACCGGCGCACGGGUGCGUAACGCGUAUGCAACCUACCUUUCACAGGGGGAUAGCCCGAAGAAAUUUGGAUUAAUACCCCAUAAUAUUAUUGGAUGGCAUCAUUUGAUAAUUAAAACUGCGGUGGUGAAAGAUGGGCAUGCGUCCUAUUAGCUAGUUGGAGUGGUAACGGCACCCCAAGGCUACGAUAGGUAGGGGUCCUGAGGGGGAGAUCCCCCACACUGGUACUGAGACAGGGACCAGACUCCUACGGGAGGCAGCAGUGAGGAAUAUUGGUCAAUGGUCGGAAGACUGAACCAGCCAUGCCGCGUGCAGGAAGAAUGCCUUAUGGGUUGUAAACUGCUUUUAUAUGGGAAGAAUAAGGCGUACGUGUACGUUGAUGACGGUACCAUAUGAAUAAGCAUCGGCUAACUCCGUG